GAUGAACGCUGACAGAAUGCUUAACACAUGCAAGUCUACUUGAUUCUACUUCGGUAGUUGAUGGUGGCGGACGGGUGAGUAACGCGUAAAGAAUCUGCCCUUUAGUUUGGGAUAACCUUGGGAAACGAAGGCUAAUACCGGAUAUUAUGGAGACGUCGCAUGGCGACUCCAUGAAAGCUAUAUGCGCUAGAGGAGGACUUUGCGUCCCAUUAGUUAGUUGGUGAGGUAAUGGCUCACCAAGACCGCGAUGGGUAGCCGGCCUGAGAGGGUGAUCGGCCACAAGGGAACUGAGACACGGUCCUUACUCCUACGGGAGGCAGCGGUGGGGAAUAUUGGACAAUGGCCACAAGCCUGAUCCAGCAAUUCUGUGUGCACGAUGAAGGUCUUCGGAUUGUAAAGUGCUUUCAGUAGGGAAGAAAAAAAUGACGGUACCUACAGAAGAAGCGACGGCUAAAUAUGUGCCAGCAGCCGCCGCAGUAA
rnacentral:rRNA from 1 species